UACAGAGGUCCCAAGCGUUGUUCGGAUUCACUGGGCGUAAAGGGUGCGUAGGCGGUCGGGUAAGUCUGAUGUGAAAUCUCACAGCUUAACUGUGAAACUGCAUUGGAUACUAUUCGGCUUGAGAGUUGGAGGGGGGACUGGAAUUCUUGGUGUAGCAGUGAAAUGCGUAGAUAUCAGGAAGAACACCCGUGGCGAAGGCGGCUCUCUGGGACGGUACUGACGCUGAGACGCGAAAGCGUGGGGAGCGAACAGG
rnacentral:rRNA from 1 species